rnacentral:rRNA from 1 species
GAUCAACGCUAAUCGGAUCAGGGUAAGUCGGGCCCUAAGGUUCAGCCUAAUGGCGAUACCGAUGGACGAAACGGUUAAUAUUCCGUUACUGUAAUAUAAAGUGACGUGGGGACGCAGGAGUGACACUGCUGCCAUCUGACGGAAUAGAUGGUUAAAGGAAGUAGACGUUGAUUUCGGUAGGCAAAUCCGCCGAGAGAGUCGAAACUGAAAGUACAGCAAUCCAAUGGAGCGCUGAUAAUGCAGGUAAUCAAACUGCCUAGAAAAACCGCUAAACAUUAAUUUAUAUUGCACCCGUACUAAAACGGACACACGUAGUUGGGUUGAGUAUACUAAGGCGCUCGAGUGAUUCACAGUUAAGGAAUUAGGCAAAAUGACCCUGUAACUUCGGGAGAAAGGGUGCCAGCGCAAGCUGGCCGCAGAGAAUCGGAGAAGGCAACUGUUUAACAAAAACACAAGGCUAUGCAAAUAAGAAAGAAGAAGUAUAUAGCCUGACACCUGCCCGGUGCUGGAAGGUUAAGAGGAGAUGUCAUCGCAAGAGAAGCAUUGAAUUGAAGCCCCAGUAAACGGCGGCCGUAACAAUAACGGUCCUAAGGUAGCGAAAUUCCUUGUCGGGUAAGUUCCGACCUGCACGAAUGGCGUAACGACUUCCCCGCUGUCUCCAGCAUAGACUCAGUGAAAUUGAAUUCCCCGUGAAGAUGCGGGGUUCCUGCGGUUAGACGGAAAGACCCCGUGCACCUUUACUAUAGCUUUACAUUGGCAUUCGUAGUGGCAUGUGUAGGAUAGGUGGUAGGCUUUGAAACCUGGGCGCCAGCUCAGGUGGAGCCACCCUUGAAAUACCACCCUUAUUACUAUGGAUGUCUAACCGCGGCCCGUUAUCCGGGUCCGGGACAAUGUAUGGUGGGUAGUUUGACUGGGGUGGUCGCCUCCAAAAGAGUAACGGAGGCUUCUAAAGGUGCGCUCAGAACGAUUGGUAACCGUUCGUAGAGUGUAAUGGUAUAAGCGCGCUUGACUGUGAGACCAACAAGUCGAGCAGGUAGGAAACUAGAGCAUAGUGAUCCGGUGUUUUCAGUAUGGAAUGGACAUCGCUCAAAGGAUAAAAGGUACUCCGGGGAUAACAGGCUGAUCAUUCCCAAGAGCUCAUAUCGACGGAAUGGUUUGGCACCUCGAUGUCGGCUCAUCACAUCCUGGGGCUGGAGAAGGUCCCAAGGGUUCGGCUGUUCGCCGAUUAAAGUGGUACGUGAGCUGGGUUUAGAACGUCGUGAGACAGUUUGGUCCCUAUCUGCCGUGGGUGUAGGAAGUUUGAGAGGAUCUGCCUUUAGUACGAGAGGACCGAGGUGGACGUACCUCUGGUGGACCAGUUGUCGCGCCAGCGGCAUAGCUGGGUAGCUAAGUACGGAAAGGAUAACCGCUGAAUGCAUCUAAGCAGGAAACCUACCUCAAAACUAGACUUCCCUAUCAGAGCCGUGGAAGACCACCACGUUGAUAGGCCAGGUGUGGAAGCACGGUAACGUGUGUAGCUAACUGGUACUAAUAGCUCGAUUGAUUUACUUUG